UACGGAGGGUGCAAGCGUUGUCCGGAUUUAUUGGGUUUAAAGGGUGCGUAGGCGGCCUUUUAAGUCAGCGGUGAAAGUUUAGGGCUCAACCCUGAAAUUGCCGUUGAUACUGGAAGGCUUGAGUGUCGAUGGGGUACCUGGAAUUGAUGGUGUAGCGGUGAAAUGCAUAGAUACCAUCAGGAACACCGAUAGCGAAGGCAUGGUACUUAUCGACAACUGACGCUGAGGCACGAAAGCGUGGGUAGCGAACAGGAUUAGAAACCCCGAGUAGUCC
rnacentral:rRNA from 1 species